CCACGAGCUUCACAGAGGAUGCAACUGCCAUAGAAGAUGCAGUCAAUCGCGACGUAACAAAAUCAGAAGCUGCUUUUUCUUCUCCCUCCAGUAGCCCGACCCCGAAGAAAGAGUUACUAUCUGAAGAAGACAUUGCAGCCAUGAAGAUCCAAGCCUCUUUUAGGGCUCAUCUUGCAAGGAAAGCAUUUCGAGCGCUGAAGAGUCUUGUGAAGGUGCAAGCGGUGGUUCGCGGAGCCUAUGUGAGAAAACAAGCUCGAAUGGCCUUACAUUGCAUGCAUGCGCUUGCCCAGUUGCAGGUCACCGUCAGAGCACGCCAACUCCUCAGCAGAUGUAGUGAUAAUUGAUUCACAAGUACUACUAGCCACAGAGUUCUUUCAUGACAAGUCAUAAGCCUUCCAGUGGCGAGAGAGACCAAACAAUUAGGUCGUUUCAGCUAAAGGGCAAAACCGGCAUUUUAGCUGAUCGAAUGAAUCUCCAAAUUGAUUUAGAGAACUCAUAAUCAAAAAAAGAUGGGAGUAGGAUUCUUUAUAGGACAACUUAAUUAGAGUUGAAGUUUGGCAGAGAUACCAACAACCUGUUUCCAAUUUCUAAUUAAUUUUAUUCUUUGCAUUUUUAAUAUUUUAUAUAUAUUCAAAUUAUGAUUACUUUUUAA